rnacentral:rRNA from 1 species
GUCCACGCAGUAAACGAUGAAUACUAGCUGUAUGCGAUAUACUGUAUGUGGCAAAGCGAAAGCGUUAAGUAUUCCACCUGGGGAGUACGUUCGCAAGAAUGAAACUCAAAGGAAUUGACGGGGGCCCGCACAAGCGGAGGAACAUGUGGUUUAAUUCGAUGAUACGCGAGGAACCUUACCCGGGCUUGAAAUGCAGAGGAAUGACUUGGAAACAGGUCCGCCAGCAAUGGUCUCUGUGUAGGUGCUGCAUGGUUGUCGU